rnacentral:rRNA from 1 species
AUUGAACGCUGGCGGCAUGCCUUACACAUGCAAGUCGAACGGUAACAGGUCUGGUGGCGAGUGGCGAACGGGUGAGUAAUACAUCGGAACGUACCCAGUAAUGGGGGAUAACUAUCCGAAAGGAUAGCUAAUACCGCAUACGCCCUACGGGGGAAAGAGGGGGAUCGCAAGACCUCUUGUUAUUGGAGCGGCCGAUGGCUGAUUAGCUAGUUGGUGAGGUAAAGGCUCACCAAGGGGACGAUCAGUAGCGGGUCUUAGAGGACGAUCCGCCACACUGGAACUGAGACACGGUCCAGACUCCUACGGGAGGCAGCAGUGGGGAAUCUUGGACAAUGGGCGCAAGCCUGAUCCAGCAAUGCCGCGUGCGUGAAGAAGGCCUUCGGGUUGUAAAGCGCUUUUGUCAGGGAGCAAAUCCUUGUGGCUAAUACCCACCGGGGAUGAGAGUACCUGAAGAAUAAGGACCGGCUAACUACGUGCCAGCAGCCGCAGUAAAAC